rnacentral:tRNA from 1 species
CGGGGUGUAGUAUAAAGGUAGUACGCAGGCUUCGGGAGCCUGUAGACUGGGUUCAAUUCCCAGCACCCCGA